rnacentral:snoRNA from 1 species
AGCCUCCAAAUUCCUUAUCCUUCAGAUCUAAAUAUUGGUCUGAGUGGCUAAAAAGGGAAGAAGACUAAAACUGAAGUAGACUUGGAGCUUUUAAUCACAUACAAGUUCAUUUCAAACACAC